rnacentral:misc_RNA from 1 species
GAUGAAGAACGUAGCGAAAUGCGAUACGUAAUGUGAAUUGCAGAUUUCAGUGAAUCAUCGAAUCUUUGAACGCACAUUGCGCCCGCCAGUAUUCUGGCGGGCAUGCCUGUUCGAGCGUCAUUUCAACCAUCAAGCCUUCGCUUGUGUUGGGGCCCCGCGGCUGCCGCGGUCCCCUAAAUCCAGUGGCGGGCUCGUCGUCGCACCGAGCGCAGUAGACAUCCUCGCUCCGGGAACCCGACGGGUGCCGGCCGUGAAACCCCCCACAUCAAGGUUGACCUCGGAUCAGGUAGGAAUACCCGCUGAACUUAAGCAUAUCAAUAAGCGGAGGA